AUGGUCGUGUGCGACUUUGACCUGAACUUCACCUUCAUUUCUUGUGGAUGGGAGGGAUCUGCUACUGAUGCUAAAGUUCUUUGGUCAGCACUUAACAAAGUCACUAUGAUGACUGCUCGAGGGUCACCAUGGUUGAUCCUCCUCAAAAAAGCUGUCAAAAGGGAUAGAGCAUCACCUCCUACAGGCAGUGUGACAAAGAGGAGGAGAGGGUCUCCCAAAGAAGAUAGAGCACAAUGGAAUACAAGCCUUGAGAAAGAUCUUGUGGACUUUCUUUGUGAGCAUGAUACACCUGAACAUAAGGGUCAAAAUGGAGGGAGCUUCGAAGCAUGA
rnacentral:rRNA from 1 species